UCUUGCCGCGUGCUGGUGUUGGAGGACUCUCCCUGCUUCAGAUUUACCAACAGCAUGAAUCAAGAAAAGUUAGCCAAACUUCAGGCUCAGGUCCGGAUAGGGGGCAAGGGUACAGCUCGCAGAAAGAAGAAGGUGGUACAUAGAACAGCUACAGCUGAUGACAAAAAACUUCAGAGUUCUCUAAAAAAACUGGCUGUCAAUAAUAUAGCUGGUAUUGAAGAGGUAAAUAUGAUUAAAGAUGAUGGAACAGUUAUUCAUUUCAACAAUCCCAAAGUCCAAGCUUCCCUUUCUGCUAACACCUUUGCAAUUACCGGUCAUGCAGAAGCCAAACCAAUCACAGAAAUGCUUCCUGGAAUAUUAAGUCAGCUUGGUGCUGACAGCUGCUUAACAAGUAGGAAGUUAGCUGAACAGUUCCCUCGGCAAGUGUUGGAUAGCAAAGCACCAAAACCAGAAGACAUUGAUGAGGAAGAUGAUGAUGUUCCAGAUCUUGUAGAAAAUUUUGAUGAGGCAUCAAAGAAUGAAGCUAACUAAAAUCUUUUCUGGUUUUUGGAAGUUGGCAUGGACUAGAUUUAACAAAUCAGCUAUGUGGUUCCAAAGUUUUACAGACACGGAGAACAUCAACUGUUACUAGUUCAGUAAUAUAAUAUUUUGUAUAUUAAUAAUGCUGUUUGUUCAGCAUUUUCGGUCA